UACGUAGGGUCCGAGCGUUGUCCGGAGUUACUGGGCGUAAAGCGCACGUAGGCGGCUUUGUAAGUUAGAGGUGAAAGCCCGGGGCUCAACUCCGGAAUUGCCUUUAAGACUGCAUCGCUAGAAUUGUGGAGAGGUAAGUGGAAUUCCGAGUGUAGAGGUGAAAUUCGUAGAUAUUCGGAAGAACACCAGUGGCGAAGGCGACUUACUGGACACAUAUUGACGCUGAGGUGCGAAAGCGUGGGGAGCAAACAGG
rnacentral:rRNA from 1 species